GAUGAACGCUAGCUACAGGCUUAACACAUGCAAGUCGAGGGGAAACGACAUCGAAAGCUUGCUUUUGGUGGGCGUCGACCGGCGCACGGGUGAGUAACGCGUAUCCAACCUGCCCACCACUUGGGGAUAACCCUGCGAAAGUAAGACUAAUACCCAAUGAUAUCCCACGAAGGCAUCCGAAUGGGAUUAAAGAUUUAUCGGUGAUGGAUGGGGAUGCGUCUGAUUAGCUUGUUGGCGGGGUAACGGCCCACCAAGGCAACGAUCAGUAGGGGUUCUGAGAGGAAGGUCCCCCACAUUGGAACUGAGACACGGUCCAAACUCCUACGGGAGGCAGCAGUGAGGAAUAUUGGUCAAUGGGCGAGAGCCUGAACCAGCUAAGUAGCGUGCAGGAUGACGGCCCUAUGGGUUGUAAACUGCUUUUAUAAGGGAAUAAAGUGGGUCUCGUGAGACUUUUUGCAUGUACCUAUGAAUAAGGAACCGGCUAAAUUCCGUG
rnacentral:rRNA from 1 species